rnacentral:misc_RNA from 1 species
UUUCCGUAGGUGAACCUGCGGAAGGAUCAUUAUCGAAUUAUAAGCGAGGGUUGUAGCUGGCCUCCCUUUCGAGGCAUGUGCACGCCUGAGCUCUUAAAUCCACAACACACCUGUGAACCCACCGUAGGCCUUCGGGCUUAUGUAUCAUAUACUCUGAAUGUGUCAUAGAAUGUUCAUGUUGCCUUAAAACGCAAUCAAAUACAACUUUCAACAACGGAUCUCUUGGCUCUC